rnacentral:rRNA from 1 species
AGAACGAACGCUGGCGGCAUGCCUAACACAUGCAAGUCGAACGAGACCUUCGGGUCUAGUGGCGCACGGGUGCGUAACGCGUGGGAACCUGCCCUUAGGUUCGGAAUAACUCCUCGAAAGGGGUGCUAAUACCGGAUGAUGUCUUCGGACCAAAGAUUUAUCGCCUAUGGAUGGGCCCGCGUUGGAUUGCUAGUUGGUGAGGUAAAGCUCACCAAGGCGACGAUCCAUAGCUGGUCUUAGAGGAUGAUCAGCACUACUGGGACUGAGGCACGGCCCAGACUCCUACGGGAGGCAGGCAGGUGGGGAAAUAGUUGGACAAGUGGGCGAAAGCCGUGAUCCAGCAAAGUGCGCGUGAAGUGAAUGAAGGUCGUUAGGUAGUAAAGUCCUACGUUUACCCGGAUAGAUAA